rnacentral:rRNA from 1 species
UACGUAGGGUGCAAGCGUUGUCCGGAAUUAUUGGGCGUAAAGAGCUCGUAGGCGGUCUGUCGCGUCGGAUGUGAAAAUCCAGGGCUCAACCCUGGACCUGCAUUCGAUACGGGCAGACUUGAGUUCGGUAGGGGAGACUGGAAUUCCUGGUGUAGCGGUGAAAUGCGCAGAUAUCAGGAGGAACACCGGUGGCGAAGGCGGGUCUCUGGGCCGAUACUGACGCUGAGGAGCGAAAGCGUGGGGAGCAAACAGG